UGGGGAAUUUUGGACAAUGGGGGAAACCCUGAUCCAGCCAUCCCGCGUGUGCGAUGAAGGCCUUCGGGUUGUAAAGCACUUUUGGCAGGAAAGAAACGUCAUGGGUUAAUACCCCGUGAAACUGACGGUACCUGCAGAAUAAGCACCGGCUAACUACGUGCCAGCAGCCGCGGUAAUACGUAGGGUGCAAGCGUUAAUCGGAAUUACUGGGCGUAAAGCGUGCGCAGGCGGUUCGGAAAGAAAGAUGUGAAAUCCCAGAGCUCAACUUUGGAACUGCAUUUUUAACUACCGGGCUAGAGUGUGUCAGAGGGAGGUGGUAUUCUGCGUGUAGCAGUGAAAUGCGUAGAUAUGCGGAGGAACACCGAUGGCGAAGGCAGCCUCCUGGGAUAACACUGACGCUCAUGCACGAAAGCGUGGGGAGCAAACAGG
rnacentral:rRNA from 1 species